GUGUGCCAAGCCCCCAUGGGCCGUGCCAAUGCUGCACAGUCUGCUCUGUUGGUGCCCAGAACGAGAUGGUUGUGGGAGGCAGAGCUGGCUGAGCACCUUAGCAAAUCUGCUUUCCCUGGCAGCAUCCUGUGUGCCUGGAGGUGCCCCCAGCCUGCCCUCCCAGGGAUCUGCAGAGGGAACAUGCCCUGCUGGAUGAACAAGAGUCAAGAGCAAUUGAGUUUGGUCCUGGGAUGCCUCAAGGAACUGUGUGAUGGCAUGGAUGUUCUCCUUAACCUUUUCAUCAUCCGUGGGUCCCCUCUCCACUGCCUGCUGCACCAUCCCCAAGCUUGUUCAGGAAACCACUUGCCAAAUCUGUCAGAUCAGCCAGGUGAACUCAUCCUCACUCUUUUGCCUAUGGGGAAAGAAAGAGGUAAUAAAGCUCCUCCAAAACAGACUGAACAGAAGCCAUUAUUUUAUGUCCAGGCCUUGCUGAGUAAUAAUGAUCUGCCUUUAACCACCCACUCGUGCCUCUGUUUAUCCCCCUGUUCGUUCAUGACCUUCACUCAUUGUAUUCUGUUGAAUUGAGCUUGUAUAUUCCUGACACACAGGAGCUGCAUCUUCAUUCAUUUGUGGUAAAUGCCUGAGACACUCAGGGCACUUGAAAUUAAAUAAUCAGCAGUGAAACAAAAGACCCCAAUUGGGCACACAGGCACAUUGUCUGUUUUAUUUGCAGAUAAGUUCUGUCUAAAAGCCAGCAAUGCGUGAUGUUUCUUGCUGCUUUUUCAGUUUAAAGCAGAUGUUGUACACAAUAUUAGAAACCAUAUCCUUGCAGGCUGUGAAGUAAUGAGGGCAAGAAGUGAGAAGUGAAGAGCUGGGAUAUCUCCUGCUUUAUUUAGGUGAGGCUUUGGGGAAGGAAGGAGUGUAGAGUGAGGGCCCUGCAUUUGAGCAAAACGUUCUGUGCUUUUAUGCUUUUUGAGGCUGAGUGUCUGUCCAGUUGAGGAUGAUGUGUGAAAGGGAGGCUACAAAGGGAGGAAGGGAGUGAGGGAAGGAGGGGAAGAAAUAAAGGUUUUAGUGCUCUAAGUUGGAUCUACA
rnacentral:lncRNA from 1 species